rnacentral:rRNA from 1 species
UACGUAGGGUGCGAGCGUUGUCCGGAAUUACUGGGCGUAAAGAGCUCGUAGGCGGUUUGUCGCGUCGUCCGUGAAAACUUGGGGCUCAACCCCAAGCUUGCGGGCGAUACGGGCAGACUUGAGUACUGCAGGGGAGACUGGAAUUCCUGGUGUAGCGGUGAAAUGCGCAGAUAUCAGGAGGAACACCGAGUGGCGAAAGGCAGGUGUUCUGGGCCAGUACUGACGCUGAGGAGCGAAAGCGUGGGGAGCAAACAGG